UACGAUUUAUUUUAAUAAGAAUAUUUAUUUUUGGUAUAAAAGGUGUGAUCGUAA
rnacentral:tRNA from 1 species